CGGUAGGAGUUUCGGAUGACAGUUAGCAGUGUGUAUGUGUAUCUCAGGCUGUAUCUACCCCACUUGUGCAGUCAGAGAUGGGAGGAUCUCUACCUGAUGCAGCUCUAAUGGCAGAUGAAGCUGGGUAUGAGCAUGGAGGCACCCCUAUUAUACUAUUGGUGGACUAGUAGCAUCCGUAACUAAUAGUCUUCAGUAUAUGGUAGGGGCAAGUCUGCAUAUCAAUAUCCAUAU
rnacentral:lncRNA from 1 species